UACGGAGGAUCCGAGCGUUAUCCGGAUUUAUUGGGUUUAAAGGGUGCGUAGGCGGAUUAUUAAGUCAGCGGUGAAAUUUUGCAGCUUAACUGUAAGAUUGCCGUUGAAACUGAUGAUCUUGAGGAUAGUCGAGGUAAGUGGAAUGUGUUGUGUAGCGGUGAAAUGCAUAGAUAUAACACAGAACACCGAUUGCGAAGGCAGCUUACUAGACUAUAACUGACGCUGAGGUACGAAAGCGUGGGGAGCAAACAGGAUUAGAUACC
rnacentral:rRNA from 1 species